rnacentral:lncRNA from 1 species
GCUGGCGCUGCUCUGAAGAAGGUGGCACCCAAUCUGGUGGUCAGUGGGUUCAGCCUGGUGGGAGGAUCAUCACAGACUUCAGGGACCUGGGCAGCCUUAGGGGACUAGGGUAGGUCAUCUCUUCCAGCCUCGUGCCCUCAACCCCAGAACCCUGGUCUGAGUCCUGGGUCACCCAGGACCACCCUGGACCCACUGGAAUUCCUCCACCACCACUUGGUCAAAGUUCUGCAGAGGUCUGAGGACAAGGGUCAGCUCGGGGGUCAGGAGAGGAUGAAGAGGUUCACAGCUCUACCAGACGAAGCCUCAUUCCUUGUGGUGCCCGGCCCACCCCUCUGAUGUGGGCCCUAAACCUCCAGCUGGCCCAGCCCUGCAGAGUGCAUCGGAGGCUGAACCCCUCUCCUGAUCUCCUGCAGGUGCAGAUUCCAGGUUUCCAAUGGGUGUUGGGGUGGGCUCCAGAGCUCUCCUGGCCCUAGGGAACCCUGGGCUCCAUAAGGCCUUGGCCUAGCCAGUUUCCCACACUGUCACCUCCCCAAACAUGGGACUGCAUGCUCUGUGCCUUGGGUGGGACAUUGGAAGGAGUUCCACCUUCCAGGUUUGGAUCACAGUAAA